GCUGGUAAGCAAGACGUCGAGAGAGGAGAAGAAGAGAGUAGAGCUCCACUUCUUGCAGCUGCAAAUGAGGAUAGAUGCAUGGUCUAUCUCAGCACAUUUGUUGCAGUAUGUGGCUCUUACGCCUUUGGAUCUUGCGCAGGGUAUUCAUCGCCUGCUCAAUUUGCUAUCAGACAAGAUGUCAACUUAUCCUUAGCUGAGUACUCAUUGUUUGGCUCCAUAUAUACCUACUUUUAGAGCG